rnacentral:snRNA from 1 species
GUACUCUGGUUUCUCUUCAAAUCGUAUAAAUCUUUCGCCUUUUACUAAAGAUUUCCGUGGAGAGGAACAAUUCUGAGUCUGAAUUAAUUUUUUGCAGGCCUUGGCUUACAAGGCU